GCGGGUGUGGCGGAGUUGGCAGACGCACUAGAGAUAGGGACUAGCGCCCUUUGCGUGGGGGCUCGACGCCCCUCACCCGCA
rnacentral:tRNA from 1 species